rnacentral:rRNA from 1 species
CCGGGUCAUUAGCGCCUCAGCAGUGUUUCUGGACAUUGGGGCCGGGUGCAGAAGAAGACGAGAAGGAGGGGCGUUGAGCCGUCAAAGUCGCGUCACGUGAGCCGUCGGUCCUGGUUGCUGCGCCGCUGCUGCCGCUCGCACUGGCGCUCGCGCGGUUCAGAGGGAUGUCUAGGCGCGCCGCCGGCCGUUCUACAAACUGCUAGUUCUGAACCCAAAGAAGUGGUUGAAGGACCCCUAGAAGUAGAAACACAACCAGUAGCGCAUGGUGAAACACUACCGUCUGGGCUUCAUACUCUUGACUAGCGGAAAACAAAUCGUUACUCUGGCAUAAUAUGAGCCUCGUUUAUCCCUUUACACAGCCAAUUACCAUUGUCUCGCGAACUGUCUAGAAGAAUUCACGUUAAUGGACCGUAACACUGAACUUAGUACAAAUUAGACAACUUGUUCACUUGACACCUCUAAAGUUUUCUAACUAAAUGAUAGACGGAUACAACAUGGGACGAACAAUAAACGACAAACUACUACACUAGACAUAACGGAAAACCCAACGUUUU